GCUAGUAAUCGCGAAUCAGCAUGUCGCGGUGAAUACGUUCCCGGGCCUUGUACACACCGCCCGUCACACCAUGAGAGUUGGCAAUACCCAACGUACGUGAUCUAACCCGCAAGGGAGGAAGCGUCCUAAGGUAGGGUCAGCGAUUGGGGUGAAGUCGUAACAAGGUACC
rnacentral:rRNA from 1 species